UCGUUGCCGACGUACUCCCCAGGUGGUUUACUUAACGCUUUCGCUUGGACGCGCAAAUCUACGAUUCACACGUCGAGUAAACAUCGUUUAGGGCGUGGACUACCAGGGUAUCUAAUCCUGUACCGCUCCCCACGCUUUCGUGCCUCAGUGUCAAUUAAGGUCUAGCUAGCUGCCUUCGCAAUUGGUAUUCUAUGGCAUAUCUAUGCAUUUCACCGCUACACGCCACAUUCUGCUAACCUCAACCUAAUUCAAGCUUGGCAGUAUCAAAGGCAAUUCUACGGUUAAGCCGCAGCCUUUCACCUCUGACUUAUCAAGCCACCUACGCACCCUUUAAACCCAGUGAAUCCGGAUAACGCUUGCACCCUCCGUAUUACCGCGGCUGCUGGCACGGAGUUAGCCGGUGCUUAUUCUUACGGUACCGUCAAGCCGCUACACGUAGCGGUGUUUCUUCCCGUAUAAAAGCAGUUUACAACCCAUAGGGCAGUCUUCCUGCACGCGGCAUGGCUGGGUCAGAGUUGCCUCCAUUGCCCAAUAUUCCUCA
rnacentral:rRNA from 1 species